rnacentral:rRNA from 1 species
GGUAAUACGGAGGGUGCAAGCGUUGUCCGGAUUUAUUGGGUUUAAAGGGUACGUAGGCGGGUCUUUAAGUCCGUGGUGAAAGCCUGCAGCUUAACUGUAGAAUUGCCAUGGAUACUGGAGAUCUUGAAUUCAGUUGAGGUAAGCGGAAUUUAUGAUGUAGCGGUGAAAUGCAUAGAUAUCAUAAAGAACACCGAUUGCGAAGGCAGCUUGCUGGACUUGGAUUGACGCUGAGGUACGAAAGCGUGGGGAGCGAACAGGAUUAGAUACCCUGGUAGU